GGGUGUGCGUUGCGAGCUGGACAUUCGUGUGGCAUUCAAACGCUGUAGCGGAGGUAGUUACCAUGGAAACGGGGCGGCACCAGGAACUGACAAGCAGCAAGCUUUGUUUCUGACGGUUUUCUUCAGUGUUUUCAGAUAUGGUCAGAAAGUUGUUUUUCUGAUUUCAUGAGUGACAAAAUAACACAUUGAAGAGAAUGUUGAGAUUUCAACACUUCUUAGGGGGGUUACAGAGAGGUAGACUUGAGGGUGAGUUGAGAAAGCUACAAUCAUUAAAUCACCUUUUUUUUUUACAACAUUUGACCAUGCAUAUUUACCGCACGUUUUUUCUCAUUUUUUUUUUUACAGUUACACAUGAGUGACAUUGAAUUAGCAAUACUAAAUGAAUAAGUAAACCUAAAAUGCUUAAAUUCUGUUAUUUUAGCAAAUUUAUUUUUGUAUAUUUUCUGAAUACUAUACUUUUUGUUUUCAGUGUUUUGUCUUUACUCUUGUUUGUUUUCUUUUAAUGAAUCUGGAACUGCAUACUAAAUUUUCUUGACUCUACAUGUUAUGUUUGUAGAUUCUUCCUCGCUGAUGGCCAAGCAGCAGAGGUGGAGCAGACCUCCUGUCAGAAAACAUAUCUAAAGCGCUGUAAACCAUAUGACUAAAACCACAAACAUAUAUACACUACUGUUUAAAUGUUUUAGUUUAUGAUUUUAGUUUAGUUUAGUUGGACAAAAAAUACAGCAUAAACUGAAAUAUUGUUAAAUAUUAUCACUAUUUAAAUGAGAUGUUUUUUAUGUGAAUAUGUAGCAAAGUGUUUUAUUUCUGUGAUGUUAGGCUGAAUGUUCAGCAUCAGUAGUCAAUUAUUCAGUGUCCCAUGAAUUUUUCUUGAGCAGCAAAUCAGCGUAUUAGAAUGAUAAAUAAGCCAAGUAAGAUCACAAAACUUUGGACUAGUCCAUCAUACUGAAAGCAUUUUACUCAUAGACUCUCCCACUUUGAAACUAGAUUUAAUCACAUCUUUUUAGUCAAGCAUUCACAUAACACAUCUUGUAACCUUGUUCUCCAGUAAUGAAAGUUUUUUCCGGGGGCGGAGUCCGGCACGCAAAUUUCAUUUGCCAAUUUCAUUGGCCUGUUUCAAAACCAGUCGAAGUGAUCGGUUCUCAAGGCCAAACCCCAUCUGUCGGUUCGACACAACAUCGAGAGACCGACAGAAAGGGAACCGUGUUUCAGACAAAACCUUAAAUUAAGUAGUAUUUCAUACCUUUACUAUUUUUGUUUCUUCUUCAGAAAUUGCAUCACUGCUAUGCUGUGAUUAAAUUUCCUGAAGAUAACACUGUUAAUGUUGAGCCUCCCACGUGGCUUGGUAUAACAAAUGAGGCUGUGUAUAGCUAUUGGCCAUGUAAAAACUUUACAGCCAAGGUGAAACGAAGAGAUAGACAUAAUUCUACACUUUGGUCGCAGCAUGUUGCAGCUGUUCUGGUAUAUGCAGUUAUGAAGGAUUUGUUCGAGGUUUCUUAUGUUUUUGUGGUUUAUGCUGAUUGUCUUUUAGUGAUCUAUUCUUUAUUUCCAGACAGCUAUGAAGAAGCUAGGUGCAAAAUAAACCAAGCAACCAUGACUUCAAACUUGACAGCUAUGAAGAAGCUAGGUGCAAAAUAAACCAAGCAACCAUGACUUCAAACUUGAUGAGGAAGGAAAGACCAUCAGCACCAAAGACAUGCAUUCCAAGCACACCUAUAUGGAUUCCUGAGGCCACAGACCAGCCCCAACCCAGCCUGAUGUAUUAAAUGUUCUUCCAUGCACCAUCGAGGGGACCAGGGCCCGCAGGCCAGCUUCAUUCCAGACUGAUGCUCCUCCCUGCACUGCCGUGGACUGAUGUACCAACACACCCUGCCUCAUUUUACUUAAUAUCAAUGCUAUAUAAUUAUUUGAUCUAUUUUUACUAAAUUUGUGUGCUUUGCAACAAUGCAAAUUUUGAAAUUGAGUUAAAUGUAAAAAUAAAAUAUUAAUUUUAUUUAAUAUUUGUAAUGUCAAUAAAUACUCUUUGAACCCGUUUAAAAAAUAUGUUGAUUUGGAGACGGUAACGUCGUGUCAGGUCGUCACGUGGGUCCCCGCACUGUUAGAUGCUCAAAGCUCAAGACGUUCGGUUAGACAUAACAUACAAUAUAUUUUUAGAGUUAUUGUACAAUCCUUUUAUGUAAUUUAAAUAUUUGAUUGUUGGUUUCCUUGUACUUUCUUCUGUCUUUUUCCAGUUUUAAAAACAAUUUGUUGAAUAUUUUGUUUUGAAAUAUCAUCACUUGUUGUGCUAUACAAGUUCCGGUUGAUAUGGAAACAGGGCAUGACUGGGCAUGUGUAUUGGCUGUCAAGAAAAUAAAUAAUUAGUGUUUUAAAAUUCUUA